CCUACGGGGGGCAGCAGUGAGGAAUAUUGGUCAAUGGGCGGGAGCCUGAACCAGCCAAGUCGCGUGAGGGACGACGGUCCUAUGGAUUGUAAACCUCUUUUGUCGGGGAACAAAGGCGCCCACGGGUGGGCGGAUGAGUGUACCCGAAGAAAAAGCAUCGGCUAACUCCGUGCCAGCAGCCGCGGUAAUACGGAGGAUGCGAGCGUUAUCCGGAUUUAUUGGGUUUAAAGGGUGCGCAGGCGGAGGUGCAAGUCAGCGGUCAAAUUGCGGGGCUCAACCCCGUACUGCCGUUGAAACUGCAUCCCUUGAGUGCGCGAGAAGUAUGCGGAAUGCGUGGUGUAGCGGUGAAAUGCAUAGAUAUCACGCAGAACUCCGAUUGCGAAGGCAGCAUACCGGCGCGCAACUGACGCUCAUGCACGAAAGCGUGGGUAUCGAACAGGAUUAGAUACCCCGGUAGUC
rnacentral:rRNA from 1 species